UCGGGAAUUUUGGGCAAUGGGCGAAAGCCUGACCCAGCAACGCCGCGUGAGGGAUGAAGUAUUUCGGUAUGUAAACCUCGAAAGAAUGGGAAGAAUAAAUGACGGUACCAUUUAUAAGCUACGGCUAACUACGUGCCAGCAGCCGCGGUAAUACGUAGGGAGCAAGCGUUGUUCGGAUUUACUGGGCGUAAAGGGCGCGUAGGCGGCGCGGUAAGUCACUUGUGAAAUCUCUGAGCUUAACUCAGAACGGCCAAGUGAUACUGCUGUGCUAGAGUGCGGAAGAGGCAACCGGAAUUCUUGGUGUAGCGGUGAAAUGCGUAGAUAUCAAGAGGAACACCUGAGGCGAAGGCGGGUUGCUGGGCCGACACUGACGCUGAUGCGCGAAAGCCAGGGGAGCAAACG
rnacentral:rRNA from 1 species